rnacentral:rRNA from 1 species
GUUCUCCUACGGGACGCAGCAGUGGGGAAUAUUGCACAAUGGGGGAAACCCUGAUGCAGCGACGCCGCGUGAGUGAAGAAGUAUUUCGGUAUGUAAAGCUCUAUCAGCAGGGAAGAAAAUGACGGUACCUGACUAAGAAGCCCCGGCUAACUACGUGCCAGCAGCCGCGGUAAUACGUAGGGGGCAAGCGUUAUCCGGAUUUACUGGGUGUAAAGGGAGCGUAGGUGGCAUGGUAAGCCAGAAGUGAAAACCAAGGGCUCAACUCUGUGGAUUGCUUUGGGAACUAUCAA